GGAUAACAGUUAGAAAUGACUGCUAAAACCGCAUAACAUGGCGAUACCGCAUGAUAUUGCCAUCAAAUAUUUAUAGGUAUGAGAUGGGCCCGCGUCUGAUUAGCCAGUUGGCAGGGUAAUGGCCUACCAAAGCGACGAUCAGUAGCCGGCUUGAGAGAGUGACCGGCCACAUUGGGACUGAGACACGGCCCAAACUCCUACGGGAGGCAGCAGUGGGGGAUAUUGCACAAUGGGGGAAACCCUGAUGCAGCGACGCCGCGUGAGUGAAGAAGUAUUUCGGUAUGUAAAGCUCUAUCAGCAGGGAAGAAAACAAUGACAGUACCUGACUAAGAAGCCCCGGCUAACUACGUGCCAGCAGCCGCGGUAAUACGUAGGGGGCAAGCGUUAUCCGGAUUUACUGGGUGUAAAGGGAGCGUAGGCGGUGCGGCAAGUCAGAAGUGAAAGCCCGGGGCUCAACUCCGGGACUGCUUUUGAAACUGUCGGACUGGAGUGUCGGAGAGGUAAGUGGAAUUCCUAGUGUAGCGGUAAAAUGCGUAGAUAUUAGGAGGAACACCAGUGGCGAAGGCGGCUUACUGGACGAUCACUGACGCUGAGGCUCGAAAGCGUGGGGAGCAAACAGGAUUAGAUACCCUGGUAGUCCACGCCGUAAACG
rnacentral:rRNA from 1 species